rnacentral:rRNA from 1 species
UACGUAGGGUGCGAGCGUUGUCCGGAAUUAUUGGGCGUAAAGAGCUCGUAGGCGGUUUGUCGCGUCGACUGUGAAAACCUGGGGCUUAACUCUGGGCCUGCAGUCGAUACGGGCAGACUUGAGUUCGGUAGGGGAGACUGGAAUUCCUGGUGUAGCGGUGAAGUGCGCAGAUAUCAGGAGGAACACCGGUGGCGAAGGCGGGUCUCUGGGCCGAUACUGACGCUGAGGAGCGAAAGCGUGGGGAGCGAACAGG